UAGAUGUACAUUGUACCGCGAAGCCCGGCGACGCCCUACGCUAUGUAUUGAAGUGUGAGGACGUCUUUCCUGGGAAAUAUUCGUCUCAAUAGUUGGAUCAUUCUGUUUCUGGAUAUAUAGCUACGGAUACACUAUAUGGAACUACCCUUGUGUUUGUUAAGAGUUUAGUGCUGAAACAUUGUGAAGUGGUGAACUGAAAACAAUAUCUUCUGAACUUGUGGCGUGGAUAUAAUUUCUAUUUUUCAAACACUACAGUAAACUACGGUUAUAACGAACUCAAAGGGACCAUUUAUUUUAGUUCGUUAUAAUCGUAGUUCGUUAUAAGCAUAUAAACAGCAUAACGACAGGAAAUAGUCGGAACAAAAAAGUAGAAAAAUUGGAGACACUCAGCCUAUCCCGGAAUUUGUACAAAAAUGUCCUUCUUUGGAAUGGAAAGUUCUAGUUAUCAUUCCUUUGGAUCUACACAUUAAAUAUCUGCGGCUCUGACAUUUCCAUAUUAAGAAGGAUCCCAACGUAAUUCCAACACCCAAAUCCAACUCUGGCAAGACGUUUCAGAGCCGUGUACAGUGUAACUAAUCCUGGCCUGCUGCAGUGUUGCCGCACCAUCCGCACCGCAAAUCUCGAUUGCCCGAAUGUCACAGGUCACAGAUUACAGAUGAAACCCGAAGGAACCGAAUCUGAAAAUUGCGAUCAAAACUGACUUGUUUCUUGUCAUGUUUUGAAAUCACUUCAUGCAAUUAACAAAGGUCACUGCUGGUUGUCUUUUCAUCUUAUGUGAAGAAACAAGCAACAGCUCAGUCGUCCCCUGCUGGUGUGAAGUUAAACACCCUGCUUCUGUGAAGAGAAAUCUGCUACUGAUGUGAAGCCCCCCUGCUGGAAAAUCUGCUACUGGUGUGAAGGGGUACUUCCUGCUGGUGUGAAGGGAAACCUCCUGUCCCUGCUGGUGUUAAGGGAAACCUCCUGUUUCUGUGAAACUUCCUCCUGUGUAAAGGGAAACUUUCUGAUGGUGGGAAGGGGAAAUUGUCGCUGCCAAGGGUAACCUUCUGCUGGUGUGAAGGUGAACCUACUCCUGAUGUGAAAUUGAACAUCCUGCUUGAGCCAAUGGGAAAAGCCGUUUUCAUUGUCUGAGCCUCUUGAGUUAUCUUGGUGCUGCUGGAUGAUAGUGCUUGUUCACCACGCACGACUAGGAGAAGAGUACUGAAAUGCUGUACAUGCCAAUGUUUCUGAGAACAUUUCUUCAAGGUUUGUAAGCUAGUGCUAAUCUCUUGUUGGUCUGUCUAUUUGGUCAGUUGGUGUAAUUGAGCAUUCUUGCCUUAUUAUGUUGCCUUAUCUAAAAUAUCUUUUUCACAAGCAUUUGUGAGUUGCCCUCUGGCUUGAUAAGGUUAAAGAACAGAGGGUCCAUUAUCCUCUCUUGACGCAGGGACAACCUGUUUUCAUUUUCUCUGAGCCAAGUCCUCUUGGUGCUGUUUGACGUUAAUGCCUUACACAACGUUCGGUGAGGGGAAGGGUACCGACUUGUAGGUUAUGGCUGUUGUCCGAAGAGCGAGUCUACAGGUCUCGUAAGUUUGUGUUAAUUUUGGAAUAGCAAAGCCUCAAUGCUAACCGGACUCUCGCGCAUUAGUUUUAAUUGAUCUCAAAUAAUUCAACAAGCACUAAGAUCUGAAGCUACGCUUUGGUACCUGAUGUGUCUCUGACGGAAGUAAUUUGUUGUUGUCAUUUCUAGGUGUGUAUUAGUCAUAAGACCACACAGGGGCGGUCGGGUAGCCUAGUGGUUAAAGCGUUCGCUCGUCACGCCAAAGACCCGGGUUCGAUUCCCGACAUGGGUACAAUGUGUGAAGCCCAUUUCUGGUGUCCCCCGAGGUGAUAUUGCUGGAAUAUUGCUAAAAGCGGCGUAAAACCAUACUCACUCACUCAUAAGACCACCAUCAACGUACCUCUCAAACUGCUGACAAGUUCAAAACGGUCAAAGGGAAGUAACUCCAUGAUACUUCAGUUGUGCUGGGUAAAGAUCCAUGUCAUAGGGUAGUUCUGUUGUUAUGUCAUCUCCGAACUAUCACUUUUAGUCACACUGACACAAGUUCAACAAAUUAUAUUUAAACACACAGAUUUAGGUUUACAAUCAGAAAAGAAAUACAACGAGUCAAGUAAGUGGCAGACGCAAUAAAUAACACGAAUGUC
rnacentral:lncRNA from 1 species